UACGGGGGGAGCAAGCGUUGUUCGGAUUUACUGGGCGUAAAGGGCGCGUAGGCGGUCAGCACAAGUCAGUUGUGAAAUCUCCGGGCUUAACCCGGAGCGGCCAAGUGAUACUGUCGUGCUAGAGUGCGGAAGGGGCUACUGGAAUUCUCGGUGUAGCGGUGAAAUGCGUAGAUAUCGAGAGGAACACCUGCGGCGAAGGCGGGUAGCUGGGCCGACACUGACGCUGAGGCGCGAAAGCCAGGGGAGCGAACGGG
rnacentral:rRNA from 1 species